rnacentral:rRNA from 1 species
GACGUAGGGCGCGAGCGUUGUCCGGAUUUAUUGGGCGUAAAGAGCUCGUAGGCGGCUUGUCGCGUCGGAUGUGAAAGCCCGGGGCUUAACUCCGGGUCUGCAUUCGAUACGGGCAGGCUAGAGUUCGGUAGGGGAGAUCGGAAUUCCUGGUGUAGCGGUGAAAUGCGCAGAUAUCAGGAGGAACACCGGUGGCGAAGGCGGAUCUCUGGGCCGAUACUGACGCUGAGGAGCGAAAGCGUGGGGAGCGGACAGG